UGACUUUUGGGUCCUUUCAGCUUGAAUUAAUUCAAUGUUUGCACUUUUAUGUUGACUAAAUAUAACAAUCUAAUUAAAAUGCUGACAUGAAGAUAGUCAUUUUAGAGAUAAAGUGGUGUAAAAAUCAUAGUUCUAAACUGGAGAGCUCUGAUUGGAUGAAAUACGAAAAGGCGCUUUUCUACUACAAAGCUCCAGCUCUACUCGGUUUGGUUCCAAGCGCGUCCUUUUCUACUGCAAAUAGUACCUCUUCAACGUGGGCGGGGUCAGCAGAGCCAACUGUAGUGACGUCGUUUUAUACGCGACAAAAAACAUAAACAAUGGCGGAUUCCGUGUGUUUACUGCUGUGUGAGUUUUUAAGAGAAAGUUUCUGGCGGUGAGACAAAACACGCUUGAGAAGUACAGAAGACUUUGGGAAUUCAUACAACAAUAUGAAGAUGAAGACGAGAAGAUACAAGCUGCUAGAGACGAAGAGGCAAAGCAUGACGAUGGUUUUCUCAGUCACCGCUGCAAAGGUUCAUGCCAUGGAAUGGUACACCUUUUUCAUCAUGUUAUACAUGUUAUGUUUCACUGUGAAUUUUGAAUAAAUUUUUGUACUUUUUGCU